UUAACUAAAAUUUGUAUGGAGUUGGAAUGUUUGCUUACGUUUGCCGCUAGGGGUGCUGUUCCAACUGUAUAUAAAUUCGAGUUA
rfam:Bombyx mori DNA, contig: Bm_scaf331_contig42612, strain: p50T/Dazao, build 2, whole genome shotgun sequence.